AUUCUCUUAGUAUUAAUUAGUACAACUGACUUCCAAUCAGUUAGUUUUGGCACAAUCCGAAAGAGAAUA
rnacentral:tRNA from 1 species